CUUUCCUCCCAAGCAACAGCCAACACGGCCGCCACCAUCGCCUCCGCCCCUGCCUCCUCUCAUCCAAGGCCGCAGCCGCUCUUCCUCCGCUUCCGCCUCGUUUCUACUCUGUAGAUAGAUGUGAGAAUGGACUACGUGGUGCUGGUGGAGGAAGGUCCAGAGGAAAGAGGUGUGGUGAUAAUGGAGGGUGGUGUGGUGUGGUGUACUUACCAACCCUUUGCACCGUAUUGCUGUUGCUCUGGACUCAAAUGGUCUAACCAAAGUUUCCCGUUUCUGAUGUUUUCUCAAAAAAAUUGAGCCGUACCGCUGGCCUUGUCUCUUCUUUUUUCCCCUUGUGAAUUUAUUUAUCUUCCUGUGCAAAUCAAGGGUUGCAAAUGAUGUGAGAUAUGAUAUGCUAAACACUGAAUCUUUGAUAUGUUUACAAAACUUUGCUUAUUAUCUGAUGCCACCCAUCAGUUUCAACUUUCUACCCAGUUUUUGAAGAGGUUAGCUGAGCAAUUUGGUUGCUGUUAGUAUUGGUGUUUUCUUAAUGCCAUCAUACCUGUGUUAAUUCAUGAAGUACAAGUGGAUAUAUGGUUGAAUUUCUUAAUAUGAGCCAUACGAAUGUUAAUUCUUAUUUUUGCGUUCUUUAGAUUUGUGUUUUCUGGUUUAAUAGGUGAUGAAACUCUUUCAGCAAACAGUUCUGCUUCUGAGAAUUCAUGACUGACAAACCUGUUAUAUUCAUCUUGAGCCAUUGCAAUUGAUAAAAGCUGUGUACCAAAAUAACUGGAACAUUCUAAUGGUAUAGUUGUUUUGGGAAGUAAUUUGAACCUAAUCAGAGAGAUGGUUUACAAGAACAAUGUUGAUGUGUCCUAUCCCACUGGUGAUAUCUGGAUAUUCAUAAUUAAUAUAGCUGUUAAACCUUUGUAUCUUGCAUGUGUUCUUGUUGAUCCUGAAUUAGGAGCUUGUAAUUUUUUCUGAAAUGCCAGUGAUGCUAUGCCCAACAUCUGGAGGUGCAGAUGGCUCCAGGAUCCUGUUUACAGGACGAACCUACCUGGAGUCCCUGUAUUCACAUGACAUCCACGCGCAAGUCUGAGGUUGCUGAUGAUCACAUGACUUAUUCUUUUUAAGUGAUAAAACUAAGCCUCUGUGUAUCAAGUGAUGAGAGAAUACUGCAACAAUAUGAUCCAUGAUCUGAUUCUUAGUAUUUAAGUCUCUGAUGAUCACUUUGCCAAAUUUUCUUGUUUUUUUCUCGCUUGUUUUUUUUUUCAAAAGUUGAUCCUCAUGGGAUGUGAAGAAAAGGUCCAUGUUUCUGAUGUCCUGUGACUGAUAACCAUCUUUAAUUUCCUUCUGAUCCCUUGUGCAAGUGCAUCUUUGUUCAGACAUUUUUCUUGUAAUUGUCUUUUUAGAUGCUAUCUCGUAUUUGCCUAGUUUUUUGGCAUUGCGUUGAUGAAUUAUGAAUUUUCGCAUGUCAGACUUCAGAGAUGUCUUUGGCUUCAAUGAGAAGUCAUUUCAUAUUACUGAGCAAUGAAAUACCAUCUGUAAUGUUUCAGGACUGCCUCACCCUUGUCCUUGUGCCUUGCAACCGUGAUUCUUAGUAUUUAAGUCUCUGAUGAUCACUUUUUUUUCUCUCUCGUGUUUUGUUUCCAAAAGUUGAUCUCUUGUGGGAUGUGAUGAAAAGUUGGUCCGUGUAUCUGAUAAUACUAAGUCUUUGUGUAUCAAAUGAUGAGAGAAUACUGCAACAAUAUGAUCCAUGAUCUGAUUCUUAGUAUUUAAGUCUCUGAUGAUCACUUUGCCAAAUUUUCUUAUUUUCUCUUGUUUUUUGUUAUGAAAAGUUGAUCUUCAUGGGGUGUGAUGAAGAAAAGUUGUUCUGUGUUUCUGAUGUCCAGUAACUGAUAACCAUCUGUAAUUUCCUUCUGAUUCCUCGUGCAAAUGCAUCUCCGUUCAUCCAUUUUUCUUGUAAUUGUCUUUUUAGAUGUUUUCUCGUAUUUGCCUAGUUUUGUGGCAUUGCAUUGAUGAAUUAUGAAUUUUCGCAUGUCAGACUUCAGAGAUGCCUUUGGUGUCAAUGAGAAGUCAUGUCAUAUGACUGAGCAAUGAAAUACCAUUUGUAAUGUUUUGUUACUGCGUCCUUGCUACUGUGGAUGCUUUUGCAAUUUCUACUGAUGGAGGGAAGUUCAUACGCCCUGCAAUAAAGCAGAGUUGGCACGAUUGACGAAAAUAACGAAAAAUGUGCUGUUUUGUCACACACACAUCCCUUAUACUACAUGUAGAUAUGAUAGUUUCACAUAUAUGAAGCUACAUGUAGCAGUGCUCCUCAGAAAAUUGAUGGAUGUGAGGUCCCUUUCCCAAAUUAUCGACUACGAUUAUACUGUGUGCCACUGUAAUCUUUAUUAGAGGAUUCCAAGCCA